CUAAUGUGUUGUACGACGGACAGCAAAUACCUGAGGAGGCAUCCCGUGGUACGACGAGUAUAUAGACCGUGGAGGGCUCCGCGGUAAACGAGCUAGAAAGACACGAGGAAUCCCGAAGAGCAUCUCCCACCCUAGGUUGGCCUUUAACUAAAACUUCUUUCGUUCGGGGUGGAGGCCUGUAUGUUGGAGAGUUGUCAUUAUUUGGAACUUCUGUAAAAACACACACAUCUAAGGCUGCUUCGUCAGGUGUUGCUCUGGGUAUAACGCCUGGAUCACUGAAGCUUGUUCGGAACAGCGUUGACAUCACAAAUAUAAACAGUAAUCCACCAAUUACUGGUAUUGCAGGAGUAAUAUGGACUGCCAAGAAAGGGCAA